rnacentral:lncRNA from 1 species
AAGGGUCAAAGGGAUGAAUUAUACAGUAAUUGUAUCCAAGUAGGUUCUUGAGUGUUACUUUACAUACAUUCGGUCUAUCCAAAUAUCAGGUACCAUUGCUAGAUGGUUACUCUGAUUAGUAUAGAAAUAUAUUCCUAUGCUAUCGAUUUAGGUUCGAACCUAUAGGAUCACACACAUUAAAAGUUUCUCUCCAAUUAGAUGAUUGAUCUGAAGAGUCUCACU